rnacentral:rRNA from 1 species
UGGGGAAUAUUGGACAAUGGGCGCAAGCCUGAUCCAGCAAUGCCGCGUGUGUGAAGAAGGCCUUCGGGUUGUAAAGCACUUUUAUCAGGAGCGAAACGCUGUCGGCUAAUACCCGGCGGAACUGACGGUACCUGAGGAAUAAGCACCGGCUAACUUCGUGCCAGCAGCCGCGGUAAUACGAAGGGUGCAAGCGUUAAUCGGAAUUACUGGGCGUAAAGCGUGCGUAGGCGGUUUCUUAAGUCUGCUGUGAAAUCCCCGGGCUCAACCUGGGAAUGGCAGUGGAUACUGGGAGGCUAGAGUGUGUCAGAGGGUGGUGGAAUUCCCGGUGUAGCGGUGAAAUGCGUAGAGAUCGGGAGGAACAUCAGUGGCGAAGCGCGCCACCUGGGACAACACUGACGCUGAGGCACGAAAGCGUGGGGAGCAAACAGGAUUAGAUACCCUGGUAGUCCACGCCCUAAACGAUGCGAACUGGAUGUUGGUCUCAACUCGGAGAUCAGUGUCGAAGCUAACGCGUUAAGUUCGCCGCCUGGGGAGUACGGUCGCAAGACUGAAACUCAAAUGAAUUGACGGGGUCAUAGCUG